CAGGCAGGAGGUCAACAUGCCUGCCUGGCAAUUCAAGAGUAAUCUGGUCCUUUACUUGGCAUUUGUACCCUCUUUAUAAUUUCUAAUAAGGCUACAUUUGUAAUUUCCAUUUGUCAAGAUAAACUCUCCAUGAUCUAGGCUUCUCCCACGUGUAUUGCCUCACACCGUCAUCUAUCUUUCUUUGGAAUUCUCUUUGCUUCCUUUGCUUUUUCAGCUUCUUCGCACUUUCACUGUGCUUGCCUGCUUCUUCCGGUUGUUGGACUGAUUCCAGGUGGCUCGAGAAAAAGGCUAGCUAGGGAAAGAACUCAAAAGAGGAAAAGAGCAAAUGUUUUGGCCAAAGUUUCAAUUGUUCAAUUUCUACCAGUGGAAAAGCCACUAGGUGAUUUCUUCCUAUCUGUCUAAGCUUGAUGGAUAGAGUUACGUGGUACCCACAUUGGUGGAAGGUAGCAGGUAACCCUACAAUUAAGCGAGAUGUGCGCAAGUUGACCCGAACAUUGAUUUUAAUUUUUUUUCAUAUUAAUGGAGUUUUCUCAAUAGGCUGAUGCCACCAGUGUCCUCUUAAGAUGACGCUUUUGGGAUACUGAAGCGAAGGCAUUAUUGAAGGAAAGAAAUGGCGGAUCAGUCAAAUGCUAUGAAGGCAUCCUCCACUCUUCAUAUUAAAUAAACUAGAGGCUCCUAGGUGUCCUCCCUUCUUUUCUAUACAAUUUUGUUUUUGUUAUAUUGCAACUUACAUUCACUGAAUCACUUGCACCCUGAUCUCAAACGAGGAAGAUAAUCCUCUACAAGAACAAUGCCUUAUUCUUGGACUCCACCCCAAAUGAGUAGAUAAAACGAUAGAAAAGUUCGUACCUUCUUAUAGCUUUAUUUUCAAUUUAGUGGAUUCUUCGUAUUUAUUUCACUCAAGAUUGUAUAAUUUUAAAUCCACUUUCUUGGCUGUAACUGUGGUAUCUGAGAGAAAAGUGUGCACCUGAAA